CCUACGGGUGGCAGCAGUGGGGAAUAUUGGACAAUGGGCGAAAGCCUGAUCCAGCCAUGCCGCGUGUGUGUAGAAGGCCUUCGGGUUGUAAAGCACUUUCAGUGGGGAAGAAAGCCUUGGGGCUAAUACCCUCGAGGAAGGACAUCACCCACAGAAGAAGCACCGGCUAACUCCGUGCCAGCAGCCGCGGUAAUACGGAGGGUGCGAGCGUUAAUCGGAAUUACUGGGCGUAAAGCGCGCGUAGGCGGUCUGAUAAGCCGGUUGUGAAAGCCCCGGGCUCAACCUGGGAACGGCAUCCGGAACUGUCAGGCUAGAGUGCAGGAGAGGAAGGUAGAAUUCCCGGUGUAGCGGUGAAAUGCGUAGAGAUCGGGAGGAAUACCAGUGGCGAAGGCGGCCUUCUGGACUGACACUGACGCUGAGGUGCGAAAGCGUGGGUAGCAAACAGGAUUAGAUACCCGAGUAGUC
rnacentral:rRNA from 1 species